rnacentral:lncRNA from 1 species
UAAUAUAAACCCAACAUCCUUGUUCACUUUCAAUAACACCAAAACUUCACGAAAAUCAACUAGCAAACUUCUGAACCUUUAGCAACAAGCGAAGGACUGGAAUAUUGUGAUCUAAUAGGCAGAAAACUUCGAAAUCAUCCAAUGAAACAGUAUAGUUUUGAAUUUUCUUCAUGUUUUUGAUUUUAUUUUUUUUUUGGUUUAUGAUUUUUGUUUGUUUUUGGUCAUUUUGAAAUUUUUAUCUCACUUCAAAUAUGAAAAAUUUAAGGGUGAGAGUUUGGGUGGAG